CGCUAGCUACAGGCUUAACACAUGCAAGUCGAGGGGCAGCAUGGUCUUAGCUUGCUAAGGCCGAUGGCGACCGGCGCACGGGUGAGUAACACGUAUCCAACCUGCCGUCUACUCUUGGACAGCCUUCUGAAAGGAAGAUUAAUACAAGAUGGCAUCAUGAGUCCGCAUGUUCACAUGAUUAAAGGUAUUCCGGUAGACGAUGGGGAUGCGUUCCAUUAGAUAGUAGGCGGGGUAACGGCCCACCUAGUCUUCGAUGGAUAGGGGUUCUGAGAGGAAGGUCCCCCACAUUGGAACUGAGACACGGUCCAAACUCCUACAGGAGGCAGCAGUGAGGAAUAUUGGUCAAUGGGCGAGAGCCUGAACCAGCCAAGUAGCGUGAAGGAUGACUGCCCUAUGGGUUGUAAACUUCUUUUAUAAAGGAAUAAAGUCGGGUAUGGAUACCCGUUUGCAUGUACUUUAUGAAUAAGGAUCGGCUAACUCCGUGCCAGCAGCCGCGGUAAUACGGAGGAUCCGAGCGUUAUCCGGAUUUAUUGGGUUUAAAGGGAGCGUAGAUGGAUGUUUAAGUCAGUUGUGAAAGUUUGCGGCUCAACCGUAAAAUUGCAGUUGAUACUGGAUAUCUUGAGUGCAGUUGAGGCAGGCGGAAUUCGUGGUGUAGCGGUGAAAUGCUUAGAUAUCACGAAGAACUCCGAUUGCGAAGGCAGCCUGCUAAGCUGCAACUGACAUUGAGGCUCGAAAGUGUGGGUAUCAAACAGGAUUAGAUACCCUGGUAGUCCACACGGUAAACGAUGAAUACUCGCUGUUUGCGAUAUACAGCAAGCGGCCAAGCGAAAGCGUUAAGUAUUCCACCUGGGGAGUACGCCGGCAACGGUGAAACUCAAAGGAAUUGACGGGGGCCCGCACAAGCGGAGGAACAUGUGGUUUAAUUCGAUGAUACGCGAGGAACCUUACCCGGGCUUAAAUUGCAGAUGAAUUACGGUGAAAGCCGUAAGCCGCAAGGCAUCUGUGAAGGUGCUGCAUGGUUGUCGUCAGCUCGUGCCGUGAGGUGUCGGCUUAAGUGCCAUAACGAGCGCAACCCUUGUUGUCAGUUACUAACAGGUUCCGCUGAGGACUCUGACAAGACUGCCAUCGUAAGAUGUGAGGAAGGUGGGGAUGACGUCAAAUCAGCACGGCCCUUACGUCCGGGGCUACACACGUGUUACAAUGGGGGGUACAGAGGGCCGCUACCACGCGAGUGGAUGCCAAUCCCAAAAACCUCUCUCAGUUCGGACUGGAGUCUGCAACCCGACUCCACGAAGCUGGAUUCGCUAGUAAUCGCGCAUCAGCCACGGCGCGGUGAAUACGUUCCCGGGCCUUGUACACACCGCCCGUCAAGCCAUGGGAGCCGGGGGUACCUGAAGUGCGUAACCGCAAGGAGCGCCCUAGGGUAAAACUGGA
rnacentral:rRNA from 1 species